rnacentral:rRNA from 1 species
AGAGUUUGAUCCUGGCUCAGGAUGAACGCUAGCGGCAGGCCUAAUACAUGCAAGUCGGACGGGAUUGGAGAGCUUGCUUUCCAUGAGAGUGGCGCACGGGUGCGUAACACGUAUGUAACCUACCUUUAUCAGGGGGAUAGCCUCUCGAAAGAGAGAUUAAGCCCGCAUAAUAUGGAGACACAGCAUUGUGAUUCCAUCAAAUAUUUAUAGGAUAAAGAUGGGCAUGCGGAACAUUAGCUAGUUGGUAAGGUAAUGGCUUACCAAGGCUACGAUGUUUAGGGGAUCUGAGAGGAUGACCCCCCACACUGGUACUGAGACACGGCCCAGACUCCUACGGGAGGCAGCAGUGGGGAAUAUUGCACAAUGGGCGCAAGCCUGAUGCAGCGACGCCGCGUGAGGGAUGACGGCCUUCGGGUUGUAAACCUCUUUCAGCAUCG